CCAAAUGAUGCAUGAUUCAAUUCGGUUCGGGUUUACGUCACGUGUUUGUCAAGUCUUCCGCCCACAUAGGUGACAAGUUUACAGGUUUCAUCAAGGUCAAAUAGGAAAUAAUCCGCUUGUAAUGUAAUGUAACACACAGUGAACAAACACGGUUGCUAAAAUGAAGUAUUCUUUGGAAGAAGUCAAAGAAUUGAUUCAUUCUCAUGAUCCAAUUAACUAUUUAGCAAUUGCUGGGGGAGUCCUAGCAGCUUCAGCACUAACGUAUGGCCUGUAUAAGAAAAUAACUGGAAACAGAAGAAAAAAAGUUAUCCCUAAGGAUGUUGUGAUUGUUCAUGGUUGUAGGAGAGGACCCUACUGUCCAAGUGUAUCUCCAUUUUGUCUGAAAGUUGAAACUUACUUGAGGAUGAACAGAAUACUAUAUCAGAGUGAUAAAGAUAUUGAGCUGUCAUCUAAAGGCAAGAUACCAUGGAUUGAAUAUAAUGGAGAAGUUGUCAACGAUUCUUCUUUCAUCAUCCAAUAUUUUAACAAGAAGUUAGACAUCGAUGUUGACAGAGAUUUAACAGAAAAAGAACGAGCUAUAUCCAGAGCCUUUCAAAAAUUAAUAGAAGAAAACCUUUUUUGGUGUUUUGCGCUGUCUAGAUAUGUUUAUGGUUAUACAGAUAACCGUUGGAUGGGUUUCGGAUGGCGAAUAUAUAUACCUAUACUUAUUAAACGAAAUACUGUCAAGAAUGCCUGGGCAGCUGGUGUUGGUAGACACACCCAAUCAGAAGUUGAACAGAUUUUUGACGAUGACAUGAAAGCCUUGUCUGAUUUUCUAAGUAGUAAAGAUUUUAUGAUGGGAAGUGAACCUACAGAAAUAGAUUGUACAGCAUUUGGUAUGUUAGCACAAUUUUUGUGGCACAGUCCUCAACAGCCGUGUGAAACGUGGAUAAAAGAAAAAUAUCCCAAUUUACAGGAGUACUGUAUUCGAAUGAAAGAUUUAUUUUGGGAAGAUUGGGAUGAAUGUAUUACACAUGGUGGUACAAGGGAGGCUACUCGUUAAUGGAUAAUGGAUACAGACCACAAUAAUAUAAUCAUAGAUUGUUCUUCAGGAACAAAAAUAUAAAGUGAUAGAUUAUUAAAUAUGUCUGAAAUUGGGGACUGUCAAUACUAUUUCAGCUGCAACAAUAAAAUAUUUGGUUCAUAUAUAUAAAGAUUCUUAUUGGAUUUUCGACUAGUGUGUUCUGAGUCCUGAUGUGUAGACUAUCGAUGAAAUUGUACCUUGUCAUUCAGGGCGGGGUCGGGUCACACAGUGGCAAAGUGAGUAAGACGCUGGCUCGCUAGCUGGAGGUCACGUGUUCGAUCCCUGCAUUGGCUGAGAAAGUACGUCCAGAUUUUCCAACCUGGUUUUCCCUUGUCAGUGAUGCAGGACGGAGGGCCUGACAAGGACAGCUGUCUAGUCAUUAGGAUGGGACGAAAAACUGAGGCUCCACGUACACAUUGGCAUGCACGUAAAAGAUCCCUUGACAGUUGGAAUAUGAUAUAAGAUUAGGCCCCUAGGCUAUAGUAUGGUGUAUGCCCAUCUUCAUUUCAUUUCAGUCAUUCAGAUAGGAUGAAAAUCAGACUUGAUAAAUGAAAUGAAUUGAAAUUGAGUUGAACAUCCUACAGUUGCGCACCGACUAGGCUAAUGAAGACAAAGACCAUGUAAUGUGCUAUGAGGGACAUUUAGCCCAGGCAUCAGCACUACAGUCAUUCGUAAAUCAAGUAGAUUUAUCAUAGAAUUUAUUGACAGUCUCCAUUUUAAGAUAGUAAUUAUAUUAUAUAGUAUGCUUUAGUUUAGAUAAUAUAACCAAAUAAUGUUCUUGAGAUUUAUCCGAGAGUUUGUAGUAGAAAUAAAUGUGUUCUUUUAAUGGGUAUUAAUUUGUAGUAUUUAUAGAUAAACAUACAUUAUGCAAGAGCUAAAUCUGAUUAUUGCAAGUCUUUAUUUAGGCUUCAGAUGUCAUAGAAAUUAUAAAUUAGAUCUUUAUUUACACAACAAGCACAAAAUCAACUCUGUAGACCCACGGAUGGCUUGGAUUCAGCUUGGAUUUAAACGUGAUUUCGUUGACUGAUUUAAUUUUAAAUGGCGUUGUGAGCGGAGAUUAACCGUUACGAGGCUAAAUGAUAGAGUGUACGAAGCGAGGCCGCUGUUGAGCGAUGCCUUAACAAAUGACAUCUAAACUAUUUAAAGUGCAAUAAACUAAAUACAGAUAAUGACAAAUUAUACAAUUCCUGGACACCGUGUGAUGACUAAUACAGACGGACAGGUCUUCUGUCUUAAUAAUAUCAAUAAAAAUAUUUUUAUUUCCCCAAUAGGCACGACGCCACUGGUGUAUACCUAUAGAUUUAUCAUAAUUAUAUUAUAAUAUUAUAUAUGUCCUAUAUUCAAUUGAUUUAAUGCAUGCCCAAAAUACAUGUAAGAAUGAAAAUUUACCCUCACUCAUUUUGUCCAAUUGUUAUAAAAAUCCAAAAAGGUAAAACACAAAUUCGGAUAUGAUGACAGCAGACAAAAGACAGCAGAGAUUAUGUAGGUGGAGUUAACACCUAUCAAUCAAACGAUCGGCCAUACUAAGAAUCGGUGAAGAUGGAAUUCAAUCCCAUUUCUAGUCAAAAAUUACACUGGUGAUAACUAUGUCCAGAAUAAAGUAAUUUGACUGAAAUUUUCAAUAUAUUCUUCUUUCAUCAUCUAUUUUUGAACUAUUAUAGCAAGAAUGGCUAACUCCUUAUAAAAAUCUCCCAUAAUGUAUCUUUAAGUUAAACAUAAAACUUGCUCAUGAUCGUAGAAUGGAUUUUAUUUUGACAGAAUUUAUGUAUGAUGUUUUUUUUGUUGUUGAAUGGUCAGAUAAAAAGAUACUAACACGGGUUAUCAUUAUAAAAUUUCAAAUUCUAACAUUUUCAUUGCUCAAGAACAUCUACACUGUUUCGAUUGUUCAUUUACCUGUUGGAAUUAUAUUUACCUUUCUACUUUAUUAAUAUAACAGCUUAUUGUCCUUAUAAAUUAGCUUUCGUCAUUUUUUUUUUAUCUUUUGUAUUUUAUAAGGACAAUUUUGCUGAAUUUUAGUUUCAGAAAAUAUUUUGCUGAAUUUUAGUUUCAGAAAAUUUUUUGCUGAAUUUUAGUUUCAGAAAAUUUUUUGCUGAAUUUUAGUUUCAGAUUUUUUUUUAGAUGAAAGUAACAGAUUUUGCACAGAUUGUUGACAUGUGUUUCCAUUGUUAGACUUGAGUCUAAAAAGACGCCAAGAUUUUUAACCUUAUCUUGAGUUAUUAUUUCAGAGUCAGCUAUAAUUAAUGUUGAUGAAUCAAGUUUUUGUAGAUUAUGUUAAGGGAGAUUACCUAGUGUUGGUUUUGUUUUCGUUAAAUAAUUAAUCUGAGUACAUAUUAAUUGUGGAUUAAGCUGUGAUAAGUUGGACAUUUUAGUGAAAAUGCAAUUGACGCAUCAAGCCUUCAAUAAUAUCUUAUGAUAUAAUUUUUAUACAUUUUGUUUAUUUCUUUGAAAGCUAAUUGCUUUGAAUGUAAGAUUUGAAAAUGGUAUGUGAUCUUUUGAAUUAUGUUUUGAUAUC